rnacentral:rRNA from 1 species
ACCUGAUCUCAUCUGAUCUCAGAA